ensembl:lncRNA
GCUAGCUGCUAUCACUCGUUCUGUUUGUUGUGGUGUUUUCAGUUAUUUAUGCCUGGUGAAAAACCAGUGGCCUUUUCCUUUAGAUCCACAGGCCGUGCUCCCCUCGCCAGCACAAAGCUGAACAGCAAAUACCGCAUGUCGAGGUAUAACAGCAACUGAGCACUUCAGAACCAACACAAGCUAUGCCACAAAACCAUCACCCUACAGCUCCGUCCUACACACCACUGUCAGCAAUGCUGCACAGGGGGAGGUACUCAAGCACAGCCCAAACCAGGACCCGGAUUUUGCCCGAGUCACACAGAAGCGCAGACCUGGAACCAAAGCUCUGGCUCCCAGCUCCCACAUCAGCACUAUACCCCGCAGAAGGCACUCCCAACGCUUGUCAUAAUUACCCACUGUUCCCGUCCCUUACUGACUGCGAACAGGAUAGUAACUGCCCUGGCAUCUCACAGCCCCUGUGAGUUACGUCCUGGUGUCUGCCAAGCCCGAUGCCGUCUGCGCUGUGCUGCGCUGCCGUUCCCCUUCCCACGUCUCUGGGAAGCCCUGUCUUCUCCGACAGAUCCCAGAUUCCAGGCGGAGUUUUCCCAUGCCAUCGUCCCUCAGAAUAGCUGCGCUCUUCAUAUUUUUAGCAAGACUCCGCUGGACCAAUAUGUUUGAUUUUCCACUGAUUCCACUCUAGCUCACGUCUCACGCCCAGGCAGUUUUCCUGCGUUUCUGCUGAUAUGUUUGGCAGUGGUGGAAGGGAAGAGGGACACAAGGUGGAGUCUUGAAGAUGGUAGCUCUGAAAGCAAGAGCUGCUUUGCAUAUUUGGAGGUCUAUAAAGCUGAUUCUGAGAGAGAGAAGACAGAGAAAGGGGUUUCUGGCCGUGUUUUGCGACAGUGAUUCUGCACCGCCAGGAGAAGCACAGCGAGCACCGGGACAACAACGGCGAAAGAAGGAACACGAUCGGAUUCCUUCUGCUGGGAUUUAGCAGAUAAGUGGAAAAGCUGAGUCUGAGAAACUGAAGAAACUGCCAGUAGCCCAGAGACCACAAUUUGAUGACAUUUCAUUCUUAAUCAGGUUAAAAAAAAAAUUGAAUUACGUUGAUUUAUUUUGCCUCUCUUUCAGGCUGUCCCACUCCAAAGCUACAUAGGAAGGUGGAUUAAAAUUUAAAAAAACACCGUGUUUUACAGAAGCUCGGCGUCUUACCAGUGCUGAUGGGCAACCUGAGAGCCGGGGGCUCCCAGCAGCCCCUGCAGGCUGACAGAGGCCGGUCCUCCCUCGGAGGUGAAGGGCAGGUGGGCCGUGAAGGAAAGCCGCCCCGUAGGGCUGCUCCGCCACCACCAACUCCAUCAUUCACUCACUGAUUUAAAACACAAACGUCCUCCGUGGCUUUGAAAACUAUAAUGCCCUCCAUAAGCCAAACAACUGUGUAUCUGGGAAAUCUUAGUGGAGUAUCUUGGCAACAAGAACACUUUAAUAAAACACAGAUCUCAUACAGAAAGAGCAUCUUUUGGGCAGAGGAGAUGAAGUGGAUGAGACACCAAGCCCAGUUUGAACAAUACACCGAAUUAAGCCCGAGAACUCGGACUGAGUUGGUAACUCCAGGGAGGACACCGAUGCUUCAGAAAGUGGGAACCAUUUCCACACUUACAAAUGGUUCUGUGGGCGUGAAUGCUUCCGCAGCUCCCAGGCCAGGCAAGAUGACCUUUACAGAACUUGUAAAAUCAAAUCACAUAAAAAUAGAUUCAGACUUUCUUAAAAUGAAACCGCUUGAAAAAGAAGCCCAACAACUGAAAUGCUGGAGGAAAACAGAACGUGCCUGAGCAAAUAUACUUCAAAAUGAAAUUUUAAACUUGGAAUAAUGACAGUAGUUACGUCUCCAUCUCUCUUUCUCUCUCGCUCGCUGCCAUUUCCAGAUCACUCUUAUCAGAGCUCUGUCAGCCCCUAAACUGACAUUUUCCCAUCCUGAUCAUUCCCAGGAUAGAGAAGAAGGAUUUUUUUUUUUUUGCUUGGCUGAUGCAAACAGCAG